ACAGAGGUCCCAAGCGUUGUUCGGAUUCACUGGGCGUAAAGGGUGCGUAGGCGGUCGGGUAAGUCUGACGUGAAAUACUGGAGCUUAACUCCGGAACGGCGUCGGAAACUACUCGGCUAGAGGGUUGGAGGGGGGACUGGAAUUCUCGGUGUAGCAGUGCAAUGCGUAGAUAUCGAGAGGAACCCCUGUGGCGAAGGCGAGGCGCUGGACAAGACCUGACGCUGAGGCGCGAAAGCUAGGGGAGCAAACAG
rnacentral:rRNA from 1 species